GUGAGGAAUAUUGGACAAUGGGCGCAAGCCUGAUCCAGCCAUGCCGCGUGCAGGAAGACGCAUCUAUGGUGUGUAAACUGCUUUUGUACGGGAAGAAACACUCCCUCGUGAGGGAGCUUGACGGUACCGUAAGAAUAAGGAUCGGCUAACUCCGUGCCAGCAGCCGCGGUAAUACGGAGGAUCCAAGCGUUAUCCGGAAUCAUUGGGUUUAAAGGGUCCGUAGGCGGUUUAAUAAGUCAGUGGUGAAAGCCCAUCGCUCAACGAUGGAACGGCCAUUGAUACUGUUAGACUUGAAAUACAAGGAAGUAACUAGAAUAUGUAGUGUAGCGGUGAAAUGCUUAGAUAUUACAUGGAAUACCAAUUGCGAAGGCAGGUUACUACUUGUGGAUUGACGUUGAUGGACGAAAGCGUGGGGAGCGAACAGGAUUAGAAACCCGGGUAGUCC
rnacentral:rRNA from 1 species